rnacentral:rRNA from 1 species
AACGAACGCUGGCGGCAUGCCUAACACAUGCAAGUCGAACGAGGCCUUCGGGUCUAGUGGCGCACGGGUGCGUAACGCGUGGGAACCUGCCUUUAGGUUCGGAAUAACUCCCCGAAAGGGGUGCUAAUACCGGAUAAUGUCUUCGGACCAAAGAUUUAUCGCCUUUGGAUGGGCCCGCGUUGGAUUAGCUAGUUGGUAGGGUAAAAGCCUACCAAGGCGACGAUCCAUAGCUGGUCUGAGAGGAUGAUCAGCCACACUGGGACUGAGACACGGCCCAGACUCCUACGGGAGGCAGCAGUGGGGAAUAUUGGACAAUGGGCGAAAGCCUGAUCCAGCAAUGCCGCGUGAGUGAUGAAGGCCUUAGGGUUGUAAAGCUCUUUUACCCGGGAUGAUAAUGACAGUACCGGGAGAAUAAGCUCCGGCUAACUCCGUG